GUGUCACGAAUUGAGACCCCCAGUUGUUUCUUCUUUUUUAAGAGUGUGAAGUCCAACUCUUUUCAAAGAUGUUCCAUCUUCUAACACAAAAUUUCAACAUUCACCCACAUAAUAUGUAAUUAAAAUUCCCAAUUUAAAUCUACUCAUAAGCUCUGGUGUUCACUCAGGUAUGUUUGGUGUGAUUUUUCCUCAGGCCGCGCCAUUAAUAGCAGAAGUGGCUAUAGUUCCUGCUCCAUAUGUUUGAAGAUAUGAAGUUCAGGCAUGGCAAUCAUUCAAGGUCAGACCUCUCACUGCGAGAAUGCGCAAGUUUUAUGAAGGAGGUUUUCAGCAUAAAAUGAGCAGAAUGAAAGCAGCUCUAAUUCUUGGAGUCAGCAACAAUAUAGUGUGUUGAUGAGAUGAAAGAUGGAAACUACCUUUUAGGCACAAGACGAGAAUACCAAUCAAGCGAUUAGUGAAAAAUACUUCUACAAAAGUGAAGCAAGCCAGCUAAACAGACCAUCAAACUGAAGUCAGUGCUAGCAAGAAAAUUACAGAUGCUAAAUUUGCUAAAAAUUUUCAAGUUGUAUUGAAGGAGCUUCAAAAAGCUCAGAGGCUUGCGGCUAAAAGGGAGACAUUACAUUCACCUUUCAUUCCACAAGUAGUUCUUCCUUCUAGAUACUACUGUUAUUAAGUUAACUGGUAAUGACAUUGGCUACGCUGAUGGUUCUCUGGAUAAGGCUAAAUUCAUCAAACCUAGAAGUUUUGUUGUUGAUUGAAAAGGUAAUAUUUAUGUUGUUGAUAUGAAGAACAUGUGUGCAAUUAGAAAGAUUAGCAAGUCAGGUAUCUAGAUAUAGUUGUGAUAUUUUAUUAUUUUGCUAUUUUGUCUGGUCUUACUGGUUGUGUUUGAGCUGAUAUAAGUGUUUCCUAUUAAAAAUAUUAUACUUAAAAUUCAUAUCAGGAUUUUGGUUGGGGUGUAAAGUUGAAAGACUAUAAUAGUUGGAUAGUUGGAGCCAAGGCUUGGUGUUUAGUGAUGCUUGUAAGUUGUAAGCAUGCAAACUGUGAAAAUAACUUUGAUAUGUUUAGAGGAGCAAGUAAAGAAUGGCAUGCAAGGGAAAAUGUAGAAAAGCACCCACUGGACACUUUUUGUUCUUGUAACUGGAAAAUAGUCUCUGUCAUGGAGUUCCAGGAUGAAGAAUUUGAAAAAAAAAAUUGUAUUACAUAAAGAUUAUAGAGUGAUUAUUUGCAACAAGAAGAAAAUAUUUAUAUUAUGAAAUAAGAAAAUAAGAAUGAAAUAGAAAUAAUAAUAUAAUAUUGAGGAGAGAGUAAAAUAGAGAAUUGGUUGUCUGGAAAUAUAGAAAACUUUAUAUUUGAAGAGUAAAAUAGAGAAUAAGGUUGCAGAUGCCCUAAGAGAAACACUAAUUCUACAUUUGGAGGUGGAAGAUGUUGAGUUGAAACUCAAAAGGCCUAUAUAUAUUUCAAUCUUGUAAAGUUUUAAGCACGGUUGUUAUUCCAUUAUUUGUGUUGUCGUAUUCUGCUCUUACAGAAGGUUGUUUGUACAUGAAUCAACCAUCAUUGCCACAACUCGGACAAGCUAAUUAAAGUAUGUGAAUUCACAAUGCUAAAUUUAUUAUCCGUGACUUUUGAACAAUGUCUUAAGCAAACUUACUACUUUACUUAAGGAUCCUAUUGGUGUCGACUUUGAAUAAGAUAGGCUUUUUUCCAAAACAACUUGUACACAUUUUGAGUUGCUUCUUUUCUUGGUGCUGCUCCCAUCGCUGAAAGAUCCACUGAAUUGUUUAGGUAGUACUACAGUUCAUAAAGAAUGGAGAAUAAAUGCACUUACUUAGUUGCAUAAA